UGCUUCAGUCCUGCAUUGAGGUUGGACCAUU
rnacentral:piRNA from 1 species